AUUUCUAGCUUGCUAGAAGAUGACGAGCGGCGGACGGGUGAGUAAUGCUUGGGAAUAUGCCUUAUGGUGGGGGACAACAGUUGGAAACGACUGCUAAUACCGCAUAACGUCUACGGACCAAAGGGGGGGAUCUUCGGACCUCUCGCCAUUUGAUUAGCCCAAGUGAGAUUAGCUAGUUGGUGAGGUAAUGGCUCACCAAGGCGACGAUCUCUAGCUGGUUUGAGAGGAUGAUCAGCCGCACUGGGACUGAGACACGGCCCAGACUCCUACGGGAGGCAGCAGUGGGGAAUAUUGCACAAUGGGCGAAAGCCUGAUGCAGCCAUGCCGCGUGUGUGAAGAAGGCCUUCGGGUUGUAAAGCACUUUCAGUUGUGAGGAAAGGGGUGUAGUUAAUAACUGCAUCCUGUGACGUUAACAACAGAAGAAGCACCGGCUAACUUCGUGCCAGCAGCCGCGGUAAUACGAGGGGUGCAAGCGUUUAUCGGAAUUACUGGGCGUAAAGCGUUCGUAGGCGGUCUAUUAAGCAAGAUGUGAAAGCCCAGGGCUCAACCUUGGAACUGCAUUUUGAACUGGUAGACUAGAGUACUGUAGA
rnacentral:rRNA from 1 species